GAUGAACGCUGGCGGCGUGCCUAAUACAUGCAAGUCGAGCGAACAGACGAGGCGCUUGCUCCUCUGACGUUAGCGGCGGACGGGUGAGUAACACGUGGAUAACCUACCUAUAAGACUGGGAUAACUUCGGGAAACCGGAGCUAAUACCGGAUAAUAUAUUGAACCGCAUGGUUCAUUAGUGAAAGUCGGUUUUGCUGUCACUUCUAGCGGCAUCCGCGCUGCAUUAGCUAGUAGGUAAGGUAACGGCUUACGAAGGCAACGAUGCGUAGCCGAGCUGACAGGGUGGUCGGCCACACUGGAACUUAGACACGGUCCAGACUACUACGGGACGCAGCAGUAGGGAAUGUGCCGCAAUGGGCGAAAGCAUGACGGAGUGACGCCGCGUGAGUGAUGAAGGUCUUCCGAUCGUGAAGAUCUGUUAUUAGGGAAGAACAAAUGUGUAAGUAACUAUGCACGUCUUGACGGUACUUGAUCAGAAAGCAACGGCUAACUACGUG
rnacentral:rRNA from 1 species